AUGGCACCCCACUUCAGCGCUCUUGCCUGGAAAAUCCCAUGGACGGAGGAGCCUAGUAGGCUGCAGUCCAUGCGGUCGCUAGGAGUCGGACACGACUGUGACUUCACUUUCACUUUUCACUUUCAUGCAUUGGAGAAGGAAAUGGCAACCCACUCCAGUGUUCUUGCCCGGAGAAUCCCAGGGAGCCUGGUGGGCUGCUGUCUACAGGGUCACACACAGUUGGACACGACAAGUGACUUAGCAGCAGCAGCAGCUGCCACUGUUUGUAGAUGUCUGUUGCCUUCUCAAUCCAGCAAGAUCACAGCAGCCAGAGAGCACGCUGCUCAUCUGUACUCAUAUUUGUCUUUAAAAACACAGUAUUUUAAAAAGCUGCUGUUCUCUUCACUCUUGGUAUCUCAGCAGGUGUUUGUGGAAGGAGAGUGCCCUCUAGAUGUUAGCUGAAUGGAUUCUGUGAGCUAGCAGACCAUCUGGUCGACCCCGUAGUGAUGAAUAACGAAGGCUUCCUAGCAUCCCUAGGAUCCUAGAGGGUGUAGACCUGGAAUUGCUCUCUUCUCUGAGAACAGUGGAUGAUGGUUCAAACCUGAGUGGAAACAGCAGAACAGCUGACACUUAGAAUAUUCACUCUUUACUUACUGUGUGAAAGGGUUUGAUUGUAGGGUUGUUAAUCAAGCUGUCAGGUAAAACAUGAAGGUCUUAUUUAUUAUAUAAGGAGGUACUUUAUGAAGAAAUUGAGCUGUGGUGAUGAAUAGAUAUUGGACACUAGUUACAUUGCUACUAUUAAUCAAGAUAUUCAUUUUUAGCAGUAACAGCUACCAUGAGGGAUUGUAAAAGUAUAUAAACUUACCCAGGGAUGAAUUAUACCAUUUGAUGAUUAACUCCUUAGUAAGAACACUGGCUGUUUACAAUUAGACUUUUUAAAAACUUAGUAAUAACACUGCAUUUAAACAAUAGUUAUGGUUAGGCAUACCAACAGAAGGAGACACUGCUAAUUACUUUCAAUUAAUUCUAAUAAAUUAUUGGGUUUAAAAUGUAUGCUCUUAUUAAAAUCUGUCAUAAUCUAGACCUCUACUAAGUAAAGAAUGCUUCUUUCAUGUCACUUGCUCCAGGGUCACAGCAGUUUCAGCAGGAUUAAAAUUUGAACCCACCUAUACUUCAGAAUGCUUUUCAGGUGCUUUACCAUGAACAAUGUCACUUGCUUUUUAGACAGUUCUUGUGAGCGACCAAGUCCCAUGUGACUUUUAUUGAAGAGGAAGGGGGUUGUCUGUGGACACAAGUUGUGGAGUGGAUUCUGUCUUCUGCCCCAGUGUUCUUGUGGUAGGUGUCCCUCCUGGCAUGGUUCUGGGGGGAAAUGAAACUGUGGAUGUCCUGGGUGCAGAGUCUGGCACAUACUGUGCUAAUACAUGGGCUGUUUUUAAAAUGAUCUCUUCAGUGGUUUGAAGCAAAUAUCUAACUUUGGAAGCUGGUUUUAAUACCUUAAAUAAUCUGGUGGGCUUAAAGAUCGAUAAAUACACCCUCUGGAAAUGUGUUUACAUUCAGUAAUAUUUAUCAGAGUUAAGUUUUAUCUUGCCCCAAAGCUGAAAUUAUAAAGUAAUUUUAAUGAAAUUUCUUGUGUUUUCUGUGCCAGGACUGAUGACAAAUGAGGGUGUUUUGGGUAAGCCACUUAGCAGCGCUACCUUUCUCAGCACUCAGGGAGGAGGACUGAUCAGCAUUCAGCAGCCUCAUCCGGGUGGAAAAGUCUGUUUUGUUUAAAUGAGAUUUUUGCUGGAUUGCUAUUUUUAUUUUGAAAAUCCAAUUUUGGCUUUUUGUCUCACAUAAUAAUGAGUUUUCUGAUAAAUAUUGUCACCCUUUAUUAAAAGUGUAAAGGAGAGGUAACAAACAGCUUUCUGCAAUGAGAUGGUGUAAUAAAUAAAAUCAGAUGCUCGAAGUCGGCUUGUCAUUUGGCAUAAAUAAAUACAUCCCUUCUUACUGGACAGAGAGGCAGAGGGUAUUGAUGGUAACUUUGGAGAAAUUUGAUGCUGCCUUUGAAAAUCCAGAAACUGAAAUGACUGUUACUGUCUUAUUUGAUUUAGAGUGGCUGUGAUUAGAUAACUUGGACAGUUGAUUUUGGUUGGGUUUCACUGUGCUGUGGCUGAGUGCUUUAGUCAUGCAGUGGCUGAUCACUGGGAAAGGGCCCUAGGCAAUCACUUCCGCACUGUGGGUUUCCUUUGGGAUGGCAGAAUCUACUUAUCGUGGCCCAGGACAGAGAAUAAAUCCUGGAAGCACCAUACAGCUCAGAUGACAAUCUGAAAAUAGCAAUCAAAGCAGGGACUAAAAGCUCAGGGACAAAUUCAGUUAGCAAACAGAAGAACUCCUCUGUCAGGCACUGGAUGGAAAGCCUGUUUCUGAGUUUAUUUCACAGCAUAUUAUGACAACAUUUCUUUAAAUUACAAUUCAUCUUCACUUAAAAGAUAUAAUCUACAUGUUCUCCUGGGAAAUAAUCAGAGAUAAAGCUUGACUAUUUUUUUCCCCCCUUGAAGUUGACCUUGUUGCCUCAAAAAACAUUUUUCACACUGUGAAAUGUGAUUCACUUGACCCCAACAAAAUUGGAAUAAAACUCACUACAGUUAGCAGUGAGCAAGAAAGUGAAUUUUGGUUUGGGAGAAUCAGGGAUAAAAAUGAGGUGGUUUUUUUUUUUUUUGCUAUUCAAAAAAUGAAUAUACUGAAGGGGAUGCUGGGGUACCCCAUAAUUUCAUAGUAGUUUACACGCAUUUCUGUUUCAUAGCACGGGUUGUAUUUGAGAGUGGAGUUUGUGGCGGGCCUGCCCCUGGUUUGGCUGAGAGGAGCCUGGAGCCUAGGAAGAGAGGCCUAUUGAGAGUCACAGGGUUGGUUCAGGUGGAAUCUGCAUCCUGGACCCUGUACUCAGGCAGCUGUUUGCCAACCCUAACCCUAACCCUUUGCCUCUCUGGAACUUUUCUUUUGGGAAGCCUUCUUGGUUUGUCAAUUCAUAUUUGCUUGCGUUUGAGAGGAGCCAUAAAAUACAUGUCUCUUCAACAGAGAUUUGAGCAGUGAGUGACCAGUGGGGCGCCCUUCUGUCCUCUUGGACUCACUUCCUUUCAAUUUAAGGAACGUGGAAUUGCCUCGACUGUCACCUGCUUUUUCCAGGGCGUCUGUCCCCAUGUGUUUGUGACCAACUUUUUAGAUGAGACUCAACUGUCAGAGGUCAAGUUCAAAGGCAGUAUAGUUGUCAUGAGAACAAGAGGAUGUAGUUGUCAGUCUGUUUGAGUGCAGAAAAGAAGUGCUUUUAUGGAGCUGGGGAAAUAGAACGAUUAGAGGUUCAGGCCAGUAGGGAAAAGCCACGGCCUUAAAAGUUUCUGUCUGAACAUUUGCUGCACACUUGGCAAAUCCUUGACUCGUCAAAUCCUUGUCACUGCCUUGGUCUUUGCUGUAUUCCCCAGGAUAUGGUUGGUAUUCAUGACCUAUUUGAGUGAAUACCAUCCACUUCUGUGAUUGUUGACUGUGCUAAGGCCUUAUGACCUCCCUUCUCCGAUUUUAGAGGCAUAAAAAUGAGGUCUAAGAGCGUAUGUCAUUUGCCCAAGGUCACCAGCCCAGAGUCCCUAGGUCUGGCUCCCAUCCCAGGGUGCACUCAGCACUGGCAAUAAGAGCACAGGACUUUAGAGCCCUCCAGUGUGGCAUACCCAUCCCUCUCCCCCUCCCCACCUCAUCUUCUGUUUGCCCUCUUGGCUGACAAGCCAUCACACAUCGAAGCCUUUUAUGGCUUAUACAGAUUAUUAUUAAACCUGAGCAAUUUGAACUCAUUUUGGGAGGUGGCCUCCUUUCCCAACCAUGCUACAUGUUCUCAUCUCUUCUUGGCUCACAUUUCUGUUUUUCCUUUGAUUCAGAGUAGUGAAUGUGGGCGAAAUGAAGGUUUUCUCUGGAACUGGGGUUCCGGAGUUUUCCAGAGCUUAAUAGCAGAAGGCUGCAGAGUUUGUCUCUGUCAGCAACAUUCUGAGGCGAGAAUCCCACCCGCAGCCGGGUUCCUGGGAGGAGAGUGACUUCUGAGUUACCGGUGACUGAGGCAGUGGCCCUAAGUGGAGAGAACUGUCACACUGUGGUAUUACCCGGAGGGCCUGAGUGGCAGCAGCAGGGGUUUGUCUGCACUUCCUGCAGAUUGUAUUCAUAAAUGUUGCAGUUGUUCUGAUGACAGAGCGGUGAUGAGCCCGUUGGUUUAGAAGGUGAAAUCAUGGAAAAACCUAUUUCAACACCACAAAGUUAGGAUUCUUGUACUUUUCAGAGUAUAGCUCUUCUAAAGGGCUCACAGAGUCCGGAGGCUUUCAGGCUCUGCUUUAUCCUGACCUUUUUAGGAUACAAAAGGAAAUACUUACCUUAGAAUUAAAUGAUUUUCUCACAGAAGAGAGUCUCCUCACAAAGUCAUUUGAACAAAUAACUUUGUGAAAUUCUGCAUUUUUGGAUGCAGAAUGGUUGUCUUAAAAAUGGAUGUCUUUAAAAAUUCAACAUUUUCUCCUUUUGGCACUUGUGUAUUUGCACACUGAAGGUUCUGAGAAGGCCUGAGAAAGAAGCCUGUUUGAUUUUACCAAACUUAAUGGCAUUUUGCAGCCUUCAGUUCAGUUCAGUUCAGUCGCUCAGUCGUGUCUGACUCUUUGCAACCCCAUGAAUCGCAGCACGCCAGGCCUCCCUGUCCAUCACCAGCUCCCGGAGUUCACUCAAACUCAUGUCCAUCGAGUCGGUGAUACUAUCCAGCCAUCUCAUCCUCUGUCGUCCCCUUCUCCUCCUACCCCCAAUCCCUCUCAGCAUCAGAGUCUUUUCCAAUGAGUCAACUCUUUGCAUGAGGUGGCCAAAGUACUGGAGUUUCAGCUUUAGCA
rnacentral:lncRNA from 1 species